UGUUGAGCUUGACUCUAGUCCGA
rnacentral:snRNA from 1 species